rnacentral:misc_RNA from 1 species
CCGAGUUAUACAACUCAUCAACCCUGUGAACAUACCUAUAACGUUGCCUCGGCGGGAACAGACGGCCCGUAACACGGCCGCCCCCGCCAGAGGACCCCCUAACUCUGUUUCUAUAAUGUUUCUUCUGAGUAAACCAAGCAAAUAAAUUA